rnacentral:lncRNA from 1 species
AUGAGGAUAGUAUGGAUCAGGAAUGAGUGUUGCCAUCUCUUCCCUUUGCACCUGCCUUGCCUCCCUGAUCUGCCUGCUCUGCUUCUGGCCAGGAUGCAUGGUAACAUGGUAGAGGUCCCACAGUUGCACGACUUUGCUGCCAUCAGGAAGUCUCAGAUAAACUCAAAGGAGCUCUGCUUUGUGGAAGGAAUGAAAACACAUCAAUUUUCACUCAACUGAUUCACAUGGGGUCAGGGUUUUGCCUUCCUUUCCACAGCUCUUUCAGGUAACAAGCAACAGAACGAGAGGAAAUGGCCUCAAGUAGCCCCAGGGGAUGUUUAGAUUGGAUAUUAGGAAAAUUGUCCUCACUGCAAGGAUGGUCUAACAUUGUAAAAGGCUGCUCAGAGAAGUGUUGGAGUCACCACUAAGUUUUGAAGUGUUCAAAAAAUGUGUAGAAGCAGCAGUUCAGGGCAUGGUUCUGUGGUGGACCUGACAGUGCUAAAUUAAUGUUUGGACUUUUCCAGCCUCAAUGAUUCUGUGAUUCCAUGAUUCCAUAUCUGUGCCCCUCUGAUUCUUUCCCUGCUCGUGGUGAGAUGCAGAUUUGGGAGUUCAUAUCAGCUUGCAUUGCAUGUUGCUUCAUGGAAAGCAUAUUCUUCCCAAUUACUUUGGCCUCUAAUUGAGCUGAACUAAACAAUGAUGUGUUAACUUGGUUUGCUUCCUGUGACUCAAGGAUUUACAAAAGAUAACCCAUUUAGGGCUCAAGGUGCCUGUGCUAAUUGUUUUCCUGAACAAUCCAUCUUUCAAUCACCUUUUCCAUUAUCCACAGAGAUUAACUUCGUUGUCUUUGGAAGUAAUUGACACUGCUUUUUAUUUUUCUAUCAUCUCAUAAUGAUGUCAGGGUAAACAUAGCCAGAGGUAAUUAAACCAGCAAAGGGGAUAAAUUCUGCAUGCUGGGCAAACAAAAAUGGAAAAUCCAGAGAGAUUUAGUCAAUAGUACUGUGAGUUUAAUCAUCUCAUAAGAUAUAUUAAUUGGGAUCAUAUCCAGCUUUGUUUGUAAUUUAUUUUCCUCCAGUUUGCAAGUGUGAACAAUGGUUGCCCCUAAGUAUCAAAUAAUGGUAACUGAUAAACCAAGGCAGCUGUUUCUACCUAAACCCUGGCUUAUUGUAGGCAAUGGCUCAUAAAUGUUAAUUUUGUAAAAAUGAGUAAUCCACUUGAACACACUCUCAAAUAAAGAAGCCAAACUAUUUCUGUUCA